ACCUUUUGUAUAAUGGGUCAGCGAGUUACUUUCAGUGGCGAGGUUAACUGCAUAAGGGAGCCGUAGAGAAAUCGAGUCUGAAUAGGGCGAUAGUCGCUGGGAGUAGACCCGAAACCGGGCGAUCUAGCCAUGUGCAGGAUGAAGGUUGGGUAACACCAACUGGAGGUCCGAACCGGGUAAUGUUGAAAAAUUAUCGGAUGACGUGUGGCUAGGAGUGAAAGGCUAAUCAAGCCCGGAGAUAGCUGGUUCUCCCCGAAAGCUAUUUAGGUAGCGCCUCGUGAAUGAUUACUGGGGGUAGAGCACUGUUUCGGCUAGGGGGCUGUCAUGGCUUACCAAACCGAUGCAAACUCCGAAUACCGGCUAAUUGGAUCACGGGAGACACACGGCGGGUGCUAACGUCCGUCGUGGAGAGGGAAACAACCCAGACCGCCAGCUAAGGUCCCCAAGUACUAGUUAAGUGGGAAACGAUGUGGGAAGGCAUAGACAGCCAGGAGGUUGGCUUAGAAGCAGCCACCCUUUAAAGAAAGCGUAAUAGCUCACUGGUCGAGUCGGCCUGCGCGGAAGAUGUAACGGGGCUAAAACUAGUCACCGAAGCUGCGGAUGUGCGCGAAGGCGCACGUGGUAGGGGAGCGUUCUGUAGGCUGAUGAAGGUGCAUUGAGAGGUGUGCUGGAGGUAUCAGAAGUGCGAAUGCUGACAUGAGUAACGAUAAUGUGGGUGAAAAGCCCACACGCCGGAAGUCCCAGGUUUCCUGCACGACGUUAAUCGGAGCAGGGUGAGUCGGCCCCUAAGGCGAGGCUGAAGAGCGUAGUCGAUGGGAACCAGGUUAAUAUUCCUGGACUUUUUAUAAGUGGUGAAGUGGGGACGAAGAAGGCUAGGUGAGCCAGGCGUUGGUUGUCCUGGUACUUGCAUGUAGGGGGGAAGACUUGGCAAAUCCGGUUUUCCGAUACUCUGAGGUGCGAAGUGGUUCUGACCUUUUGGUACAGAGAAGUCAUUGAUGCCCGGCUUCCAGGAAAAGCUGCUAGCCAUAACUUAUAGAGAACCGUACCGCAAACCGACACAGGUGGACAGGUAGAGAAUACUAAGGCGCUUGAGAGAACUCGGGUGAAGGAACUAGGCAAAAUGGUACCGUAACUUCGGGAGAAGGUACGCCCUUUCUGGUGAUGGGAUUUACUUUCAGAGCUGGAGAGGGCCGCAGAGACCAGGUGGCUGCGACUGUUUAUUAAAAACACAGCACUCUGCAAAUUCGUAAGAAGACGUAUAGGGUGUGACGCCUGCCCGGUGCCGGAAGGUUAAUUGAUGGGGUUAUCUUCGGAGAAGCUCUUGAUCGAAGCCCCGGUAAACGGCGGCCGUAACUAUAACGGUCCUAAGGUAGCGAAAUUCCUUGUCGGGUAAGUUCCGACCUGCACGAAUGGCGUAACGAUGGCCACACUGUCUCCACCCGAGACUCAGUGAAAUUGAAAUCGCUGUGAAGAUGCAGUGUACCCGCGGCUAGACGGAAAGACCCCGUGAACCUUUACUAUAGUUUUGCACUGGACUUUGAUGAUGACUGUGUAGGAUAGGUGGGAGGCUGUGAAGUGAGGACGCUAGUUCUCAUGGAGCCGCCCUUGAAAUACCACCCUGUUGUUAUUGAGGUUCUAACUUGGUCCAGUAAUCCUGGAUGAGGACAGUGUAUGAUGGGUAGUUUGACUGGGGCGGUCUCCUCCCAAAGAGUAACGGAGGAGCACAAAGGUACCCUCGGUACGGUCGGACAUCGUACCAAGAGUGUAAAGGCAAAAGGGUGCUUGACUGCGAGAGUGACGGCUCGAGCAGGAACGAAAGUUGGUCUUAGUGAUCCGGUGGUUCUGAAUGGAAGGGCCAUCGCUCAACGGAUAAAAGGUACUCCGGGGAUAACAGGCUGAUACCGCCCAAGAGUUCAUAUCGACGGCGGUGUUUGGCACCUCGAUGUCGGCUCAUCACAUCCUGGGGCUGAAGCAGGUCCCAAGGGUAUGGCUGUUCGCCAUUUAAAGUGGUACGCGAGCUGGGUUUAGAACGUCGUGAGACAGUUCGGUCCCUAUCUGCCGUGGGCGUAGGAAAAUUGAGAGGAGCUGCUCCUAGUACGAGAGGACCGGAGUGGACGAACCUCUGGUGCACCGGUUGUCACGCCAGUGGCAUGGCCGGGUAGCUAAGUUCGGACGGGAUAACCGCUGAAAGCAUCUAAGCGGGAAGCCUCCCUCAAGAUGAGUUUUCCCAUGAAGCCCGUUGAAGACUACGACGUUGAUAGGCAAGGUGUGGAAGCGCAGUAAUGCGUGAAGCUAACUUGUACUAAUUGGCUGAUUGUCUUGACCAU
rnacentral:rRNA from 1 species